GCCGAAGUGGUGGAAUUGGUAGACACGCUAGACUUAGGAUCUAGUGCCGCAAGGCGUGGAGGUUCAAGUCCUCUCUUCGGUA
rnacentral:tRNA from 1 species